rnacentral:rRNA from 2 species
GUGCGAGACCGAUAGCGAACAAGUACCGUGAGGAAAAGAUGAAAAGAACUUUGAAAAGAGAGUUAAAGAGUACCUGAAACUGCUGAAAGGGAAUCGAAUCGUUUUCAGUGUCUAUAAUCCAUGGUAUAUUUCAUUGGCGAGUGAGUGCGUGCAGCGUUUUGGAAGCGGUCUCCGCUCCUGUCGUUGUUGUGCAUUUGCUUGCUGGUGCCCUGUGCUGUGGUGGGACGUCAGAGUCAGUUUGUAUGUUGCGGGAAAUGGUUAUCAGGGAGGUAGGUCGCUUCGGUGGCUGUUAUAUCCUGGUAACUAGUCGUCGUGGCUGAGACUGAGGUGCCUACAACGCGCUUUCGAGUCUGCGGGCUUCUCGUGUGGCUGUUUGCUUUGAUAGCUUGCUAUGUUGGCGAAUAAAUCGUGCGAUUGAGAUUUGUAGUAACUUGUUGCUGUUCGGGACUUUG